rnacentral:rRNA from 1 species
AUUGAACGCUGGCGGUAUGCUUAGCACAUGCAAGUCGAACGGCAGCAUGGUCUAGCUUGCUAGACUGAUGGCGAGUGGCGGACGGGUGAGUAACGCGUAGGAAUAUGCCUUGAAGAGUGGGACAACUUGGGGAAACUCAAGCUAAUACCGCAUGUACUCGAGAGAGUAAAGCUGGGGACCUUUAGGCCUGGCGCUUUAAGAUUAGCCUGCGUCCGAUUAGCUAGUUGGUAGGGUAAAGGCCUACCAAGGCGACGAUCGGUAGCUGGUCUGAGAGGAUGAUCAGCCACACUGGAACUGAGAGACGGUCCAGACUCCUACGGGAGGCAGCAGUGGUGAAUAUUGGACAAUGGGGGGAACCCUGAUCCAGCAAUGCCGCGUGUGUGAAGAAGGCCUGAGGGUUGUAAAGCACUUUCAGUGGGGAGGAGGUUUGGAAGGUUAAGAGCUAUUCAAAUGGACGUUACCCACAGAAGAAGCACCGGCUAACUCCGUGCCAGCAGCCGCGGUAA